rnacentral:ncRNA from 2 species
CAACCAUCCCGAGCGGCUGAGAGACCUGGAUCGACGACGCCGCAGCAACCCUCCGCCCGAUCACUCGCGUGAACGGACAGGAACGGUGCUACCGCCAGGACCGAUGGAAG